CAUCAACUUAGCCGCCAAAUCCUUCUGACAAUCUGUUUCCCGCCUAAACUUAAACAGUCGAGAAGUAGAGAGGCAGAGUAUGCACAUCUCAUCUCAUAUUGUGAAAUCUGAAGUGAAUGACAGAAAAAAAUGGUCUCUGCAUCAAACCCUAACCCUAAAACUAAGAAUGUUUACCACAUCGGUGGUCUGGAAGUAGAAUUUCCUUACCAACCAUAUGGGUCUCAGUUUGCCUUUAUGGGUAGAGUGAUCUCUACCCUCAACCAGGCUCGGAGAGAAGGCCACUGUCACGCGUUGCUCGAGUCUCCAACUGGCACCGGCAAGUCCCUUUCGCUUCUCUGUUCAUCUCUCGCUUGGCAGCAACACUAUAAAUCUAAACAAGACCCCCUCAAUCCCCUCCCGGAGGCAACCACCGAUCCUCUGGCUUAUGGCGGCGGAUUUGUUGUCGAGGAGCUUUCACUAUCUUCUGCAUCAGAAAACUCGGACCGUACGCAAACUGAGGCAAACAACAAGAAGCAGAAGAAAAAGAAAGCACCGACUAUUUAUUACGCUUCGAGAACGCACUCACAGAUUUCUCAAGUGGUUAACGAAUUGCGCAAAACUGCAUACAGGGUGCCAAUGGCUGUGUUGGCGUCGCGGAAACAUUACUGCACAAAUAAAAAUAUAAUUGGCAAAGAGAAUAUCAAUGAAGAAUGUAAACUAUUAUUGAAAGAUGAGGCAACAGGGUGUCCAGAAUUCAAAAAUGCUCAUAAAGUCAAAGGUCAUCCAUCCCUUCAGAAAGGAGGAUGCAAUGAGGUGCAUGACAUAGAAGAUCUAGUAAAAGUUGGACAAUUGGUCAAAGGGUGCUCUUAUUAUGCUGCUCGUUCUAUGUCAGAUGAUGCACAGUUGGUAUUUUGUCCUUAUAACUAUAUCAUUAAUCCAGUCAUCCGGGCAGCAAUGGAUGUGGAUAUCAAAGGCGCCAUAGUGAUUCUUGAUGAAGCUCACAAUAUAGAGGACAUUGCUCGUGAUGCUGGAAGUGUGGAUAUUGAAGAGGAUGUUUUUGAUAAACUACAAAUGGAACUCCAGCGACUUUGUUCAAUUAAUACUGCAAUUUACCAACCACUAUAUGAAAUGGCACAGGGCCUUACUAGUUGGAUGGAAAGGAAGAAAAACCAGCUCGAAAAACGUGAUUUUCACCACUAUGUAUCGCAUUGGACUGGUGAUAAUGCUUUACGAGAGCUUGAAGAAGCAAAUAUUUCGAAGCAGUGCUUCCCUAUCUUGUUGGAAUGUGCUACCAAGGCAAUCAAAGUUGCUACAGACUUGGAGACAGAUGAACCGCAUAUAAGUGGCACGGCAGUGAUAACAUUGGAAGGCUUAUUCUCGUCGCUAACUUAUUUCUUCUCAAGAAAUGGAUCUCACAUGUUGGAUUACCAGCUUGCUCUUCAGCGACGUGUUAGAAAAGAUACUGGAAGAGCUACUGGAAACUGGACAUGCGCUUUUAGUUUAUGGUGUUUGAAUCCAGCAGUUGUGUUUAGAGAUGUUGCUGAUCUUUCUUUAUCAAUUAUCUUGACUUCAGGAACACUGUCACCAUUGGCAUCCUUUACUUCUGAGCUUGGAGUUCAUUUUGAAACUAGUCUAGAAGCUCCUCAUGUAAUUGAUGUUGACUCACAGGUGUGGCCUGCUGUAAUCUCCACUGGUCCUGGCAAUUAUCCUUUGAAUGCAAGUUAUAAAACUGCAGAUGGAUAUGCAUUCCAGGAUGCAGUUGGAAAAUCUUUAGAGGAAAUUUUCAAGAUUGUUCCAGGCGGAUGCCUUGUGUUCUUUCCAAGUUAUAAAUUGAUGGACAAAUUACGCAACCGUUGGUCUGAAACAGGUCAAUGGUCUCGACUAAAUGCAGAAAAGCCUCUUUUUGUCGAACCAAGAGGCGGAAGCCAAGAUGAUUUUGAACUGGUAUUAAAGGGGUAUUAUGAUUCAAUUCAUCACGAAGAAGGACCAGCGCGGGGAAGGAAAAGAAGGAUUAAGAAAAUAGAUCUAAAUCAUGUGCAUGCAGUUGAUUCCCUACAGAAUUCUAGAAAAGGAGGAGCAGCUUUACUUGGUGUUUGUCGAGGAAAGGUUUCUGAAGGAAUUGAUUUCUCCGAUGCUAAUGCUAGAGUAGUUAUUAUUGUUGGUAUUCCAUUUCCAAAUAUAAAUGAUAUUCAAGUUGGAUUGAAGAAGAAAUAUAAUGACACCUACAAAUCAUUCAAAAGUCUAUUGAGUGGAAAUGAGUGGUACUGCCACCAAGCAUUCCGAGCUUUAAAUCAAGCUGCAGGGCGCUGUAUACGUCAUAAAUUUGAUUAUGGAGCAAUUAUCCUAUUGGAUGAACGUUUUCAAGAAGAAAGAAAUAGGGCAUUUAUUUCAAAGUGGAUAAGAAGACCGUUGAAAGUAUAUGACAGCUUUGAUUUGUCAUUGGAGGGAUUAAAGUCUUUCUUUGAGAAUGCUAAGGAACACUAUGGCAUAAAUACAGUGCAUGCCACACAGAGUUUAGAUAUAAAUGGGGAUGUCCAAAAGAAGGAUCAGAAUGCAUGUUCCACAAGAAAAAAUAAUCAGAAGCUGAACAAGUCUGAUAAUGGAGAUGGGAGGGAAACAACAAUGAUCGAGAAUAGCAUUUCUUCACCCACCCUAACCUCUCAAGAUCUUGUUGAGUGUGAGCCAUCAGCUCAAAAGAAUAGUAGCACUUAUAGUUGUAAAUAUCUCCCACAGUACUUUACAAAGACAGAUCCAAGGUUCACUGCAAUCAUGCACGAGGAAACUUACGUUGUCAAGGAAACCCCUUGUAUAGACGUUGACUAUGGUCCCAGUAGCCCUCAUUACUCCAAAGAUGACAACUCUGGUUCCUUCAUAAUUGAGGCCCCCGCUCAAAUUCCAGGUCACGAGUCAAUGUCUUUGAAUACUGGAAGCAAAAAUUCUUCAAGGGCUCAGUCUUCAAUUACAGUUACUCCUAAAAGGAGUGUAAUUACAAAUGAUAUUCCAGAAAUGGAAAGUGUUAAUUCUUACCAUCAUAAAAGGAUGAGGCCCACAGUCACUCCUUAUAUAAACCUUGAAGAAGAAAACUUUAUUGCACCUUGUGCCAGUCCUCCUCUUACACGGUCCAGUGUAGUUGUUAGAGAGAUAAUUCAGGCAAGUGAAUAUGAUUUUGUGAGGGUUUUGAAGUCAAAUUCUCCUCCAUUACUGAUAAGCAAUAUACCCGGUUCAUGUUCACCAACUGCCCCUCCACUAGACCAAAGAUUAUUGAUAUUUUGUUCACUCUGCAAAAGUCCAUUAGGCCGACCUGAGAACCAUCUAUAUCUUAGGUGCUCGAUGAUUUCAUCAUCAAAAGUUCAUCUAAGAUCCCUUUUGAAACAGAGGCUGAGAACUUGCACUACUGAUACUUCAAAGAGUAUUCCAGUUCUCAUUACUGAUUCUUUAUUUGUUGAUCAACGAAUUUGCAAUAGAAUACCCAAAAGCGCACCAGAACACAGUAUUUGGUGUCCAGAAGAUGGGUGUGUUUUCAGCACCAUUUUCUGCCCCUUUUGCAGUAAUGUCAGCAAUUUGCUAGGAGUUCAGAUCAUGGCUACCGACUCAUCAAAUGUUCAGUUACUUGACAAGAUAUUGUUUUACUUUGAUUCAUUGGAAGUUAAGAGCAGUGAGGAAUCAGGGAGCACUGAUUCAGGAAACGGGGAUCUGUUGCCGGUUAAUGACUCUGGUGAGGAUAAAACUACUGUCUUAAAUUCUAUUGAAAAAUAUUCUUAUCUUCCCCGACCAGGGAAUGCAGAAGUUUUUAAGACUGGGAAAUCAAAGCAAAGACUAAGAGGCUUGCGCUGUGCAGCAAACCAAAGCUGAAGCCAGUAAGAUUGGAUUUGUGACGCAGUUUUGGUAACCGUGUUAAGAACACAAAUUGACCUGAGUAUGGUGAUUUUUCAAGAAUUGAAUCAAAGAAUGUGUUGUUUGACAUCAAACACAUUUAAUGUAAUUAAAUUUUCUACGAUUAAUUUCUUUUCCGGUCUUCAAGGUCUGCCUCCAUUGCUCACCACCCGCAAAUGACCCAGAUACUAAGUAGGAACCAUGUCUCGGUUUUAUCGGAAUAUCUAAUAGUGAUAACAAUGACCCGAAUUGUAGUGGUGCUUCUGUACAGCAAGUUAUAAAAGAUGGCUUUCUCUUUGUACAUUUUGGAAGAUGAUUUCUAGUUACAUAUGUUGGCUCAACUGAGUUUUUCUGUAAAGCAUUUCCAACAAUACCAUCCUGUCUGUACAUGGAACUAUGUUCGAAUAUUUAAUCCACAAUUCCAAGUAAAGAAGCUCCUCUUUUCCUAGAGUUAUGUAGAGAAUCUACAUUAACAUGAUUUAGAUAAAUUCUGAAUCCUCUUUCCACGAAUUGAAUCAUAAUACCCCAAUGCAGUUCAAAAUCAC